UUAUUUAUUGAUGGUGGAGGGAUGGUGCUCGGUUCCCGCUCUGCUUUUUGGAGUGCUGGUUUAUGCAGGGUGAAGUCUGCAGCAACAAUUAGCCCACACUUGUGAGAAUCCUUUCUCCAGUGUGGGAAGUGCCACAUGCCGGACCCCAUUGCAGGGUGAGUGUGGGCUGUGGAAGUGUUUCUUACUGGCUCAAAGCAGUGUGCAGCUCUGGCUCUGUGGAGGUGGUAAUGCAGGAUCUGUGCUGCAGCCCUUCUCCCUUCAAGUUCUAGGGAUGAGCAGGAUGAGGCUGUGUCCUGUUGUUCAGGCAGGUACGAACAUAAGAGGCAAGAGUAAGAUUUCCUUAUUUCAUGGUCUGCGCUUUAUUAAUUUUACUGUGUUGCAGGGUGAAGGCUGCAGUGGGGCAACUGGUGGUGAGGAUCAGCCUUUGUGUGUGAGUGGUUUCCUCUGAGUUGGGACUAUAGAGGACGUCUUCCUGCACCAGAGUAUUAUCCUGGUAAAGAGCAGACAACGCGACUCUGGAAGGCUUUCUGUCAGAGGCUGGGUGCUCGGAUUUGCU
rnacentral:lncRNA from 1 species